UACGUAGGGGGCUAGCGUUGUCCGGAUUUAUUGGGCGUAAAGAGCGUGUAGGCGGCCAUGUAGGUCCGGUGUGAAAACUCGAGGCUUAACCUCGAGAUGUCAUCGGAAACCAUUUGGCUAGAGUCCGGAAGAGGAGAGUGGAAUUCCCAGUGUAGCGGUGAAAUGCGUAGAUAUUGGGAGGAACACCAGUGGCGAAGGCGGCUCACUGGACCGGUACUGACGCUGAGGCGCGAAAGCGUGGGGAGCAAACGGG
rnacentral:rRNA from 1 species